ensembl:snoRNA
AGCCUCAUUCUAGAUGAGAACAGGCACUGUUGUUGGGGUCCAAAAUUGGUCAGUGUGGCUGAAAUUGCGCCACAGGUCACACUUCCAUCGCAGUAAGCAUACUACAGUGGUGACAGUGAGGCCUGUAACAUUU